GGAAACUGACUUUUGUUGGGGAAUGGCCACAGUCUAGAGGUUCACAGCUGUGAUCACUGUGGAAAAUACAACUUGCUGUACAUAGGCCGAAAGGAUGGUUGCCAGGGGCUGGGCCUCUUCAGAUUGUGCCUCUGUCACUCAGCGGUAGUUGUAAAGCAGCUGAGACAGUUGUAACAGCUUCUUUGUGGUGAAUGAGGGCAUCAGGAGUUCUUCCUGUCUUCUUGAAGUUCUAAUAGAUAUCUCAUCUUUAAAAUAAACAUACU
rnacentral:lncRNA from 1 species